CCUACGGGAGGCAGCAGUGAGGAAUAUUGGUCAAUGGCCGGAAGGCUGAACCAGCCAUGCCGCGUGAAGGUCAGUGCCCUAUGGGCGUUAAACUUCUUUUGUGCGGGAGCAAUAAUGGUCACGUGUGGCCAGACGAGAGUACCGUACGAAUAAGCAUCGGCUAACUCCGUGCCAGCAGCCGCGGUAAUACGGGGGAUGCAAGCGUUAUCCGGAUUUAUUGGGUUUAAAGGGUGCGUAGGCUGUGAGGUAAGUCAGCGGUGAAAUGCCCCGGCUCAACGGGGUGAAGUGCCAUUGAUACUGCCUGGCUGGAAUGCGGAUGCCGUGGGAGGAAUGUGUGGUGUAGCGGUGAAAUGCAUAGAUAUCACACAGAACACCGAUUGCGAAGGCAUCUCACGAAUCCGCGAUUGACGCUGAUGCACGAAAGCGUGGGUAUCAAACAGGAUUAGAUACCCCAGUAGUC
rnacentral:rRNA from 1 species